AAAUGAAAAAUUGGGCCCGUCCGUUGGUGUUUUGCGUUAGUCGCUGGCUCCGCUACAUCAUUUCCUAGGUGAGAAACUCGCUCAUUUCGGACUUCAUUUCUUUAACAUCAUUGCAUUAUAAAGUGUCUCACUUUUAUAUCUUUGAAAGUGAUCAAUUUAGUUCACAAUUUUGAGUAUUUCAUUUCGAAUUCACAAUUAAUCAAGAUCACAAUUCACACGCCAGCAAUUUCUAUAAACAAUUAAUAAAUUUGUUCACAUUGAAGGGUUAUUAUGGGAGGCAGCAAAAUGGUUAAAAAUACUUUCCAAUGUAGAUUGACUUAUGCUGUACUCUUCUAUGCCAAUUUCCUUCCUGAAAGUUAUCGAUCAAUGUAAGAGCGUUACAAACAUAUAAAAUACAUAUCGCAGGUGAAGCUGGCUGUAUAUAUAUAUAUAUGACUUCCAUAAUUUCAUACCUGUGGUGUUCUACAUGCCCAAAUAUGUCAGCUAGUGACGAGUCUUUUCCAUAGGGCAACUGCAAAAAUACAAAGAAUAUAUAAGUUGCACCAACAUCAGAAAUGUAGGAUUUCACAUAAUGCAAAGCAACAAAAAACAAUACAAGACCAAUAGUUAGGUGCAUAUAGGCAGUCAUACAAAGACCACCUAAUUUGAUUGUUGCAGUUAGUUUUAUUAUUUCAUAUUGAUAAUUUUUCCCUCAUACUAAGAUGAUGUUUUUCACCAAAUACCACCGAGGAAUCGAGAUAUUAUAGACCCAAGAUAAAAUUAUGAAAUUUUACUUUUCGUUUGAAAAGAGAAAUUCGAUUACGAUCUUGCAUGUUCUCUCUCUCUCUCUCUCUGUCUGUCUCUUCUGGUCAUUAGUCAAAUCCGUUUCUUCCACUGAUCAAAUAGAUCUUCUGCGGGAAGGACCUCGAAUCCACUUUCAAAGUAAUGGUAUAUCUGGAAAGAAAGAUGCAAUGGGAUCCAUAGAGAAUGUUGCUCUGAGAUUUGCAAUAGCAUCAUCAAGGAUUCGAAGACUGUUUUACAGAAAGGAAGGUUUAAUGUGUUCAUGAGUUACAUGAAAACUUUUUCCUUGAUUCCUUAACAGACUGUACCUUAGUUGAUUCAUACAAAGAUGCACAUGGUGCAUCAGUGUGGUAGAUUUUGGUGCAUAUUAGUAUGCAUAAAGUUGUACAGUUAGUUUAUUCUAUUUUUCUAGCUAGAUUAGUUUGUUUUUUUGAAUUUGGCUUUGCUAUUUCAUAUUAAUAAAAAUUUACAAUUUGCAAAAAAAAAAAUUGUUGAAACACAAAAUUUUAAUGUUUUAGCAAUUUCCUUCAAUUCUGACACAAUACAAGAUUACAAUAGCUGAAAAGUAUACCUAUUGGACACAAAGCAUGACCAUCCCUGUCUUAGUUGCUAAGAAAGUAAGAAAGUGGUCUAUAAAUUUAUCUGGGAUGGAAUAAAAGAAAUCCCACAGUCCCAAAUGAUUCUUCCAAGGCUGAAGGGGAUCUAGGGGUUAGAGAUCUUCCAAUUAUCACUACUGCAACCAACAUUAAAAGGGUCUCAAAGUGUGAGAGUUUAAUCGACAUUGUAGAUCUCAUCUACAUUACACUGGGAUAGGAGUGAUUCUAUCCUGGUAGGCUGGUUUAAUGGAUAUAGGAUAGGUAUAUUUAGAGGAAAACACUUAGAGAUAUCCAAAUUAGGCCCUUUGUCGAUUCACAUUUCUGGAAAGCUUCAUCUCAUAAAGGGCUUUAAUAGAUAAAUGCUUGGAUUGUAGAUCUAAUAGCACUGCAGUUUGGAGAUCAAGUACUCCUAUAAAAAAAUUAGGGGAAAAUAUAAAGUAUUAGAGACAAAAGCCAUAAAGACCUAUUGACCAUAAAAAUUUGGUCUAAUAUGCAAAAAAAUUCUCUAUUUUCCUAUAGAGGGUGAAAUGGGAUAACUUAAAACACUUGUAGGAAACUGAGAAGUUGGGAAUUGCAAGUACUUCCUGCUUGCUUAUCAUGCAAUCUAGAGAAAGAAUCUAGAAGUCACCUCUCUUGAACUGCUCAUAUUUCAGGUCCUUCCUAAUCACAUUGGCUGAGCAAACUUCUCCUACUGGAGGUUAAUGAAUAUCCUAAUUCGCAAUCAAUCAAACCCGAAUAUAAGAUUGGAGGAUCUUACGGAGGCUGCACAAAAAUUCACACACUACUCUCCCCCUUGGGGACUACUCUGGAAUGCCAUUGGAUGUGUGUCGUGGCAUAUCUGAACAGAGAGGAAUAAAGUUCAGACAACACACAAGUAGGCCUUCUGAAGUAGUUUUAAGGUGGCAAUUAAAGACAUCAGUUUCUCUUUUGAACCGGAGUGUCACAAGAAGAACUUCCUGAGGCAUCGUGUCUAUAUAACUAGACUACAUAGGUAAUUGGGUAGAGUCGGUGGGCUUUUAGGCUUAACUAGACUACAUAGUUACUCAUUUCUUUUUACUUUUUGUAUCUUUAAAAAUUUUUACUCCAUGUAAUCUGGGCAUUGGUCAUUAUUUUUAAUAUCUUAAAUUUUUUUUUUCUAAAAAACAAAUUCAUAGAAAUAUGGAUUCAAAGAAAGUGACUUUUUCAGACCAAUGCACACUUGGAAUAAAUAUUAAGACAAGUUACCAUAUAUCUGAAACCCAAUCCAUUGCACCCAUUAAAUAUUGCUCCAGGAAAUGAAGAAAUGAUGAAUUUAUCUAUUCGUAAAAAUUUUUCUUUUGCCAACCACCAUUCACAAAAUAUUGUUAGAGGAAUACCACCUAUUUACAAAGAUCAAUAAUUAGCACAAUAAGAAAUCCAAAAGUCUUUAGAAAAAAUUUAAUGAAAAAAGUUUAAAUACUAAGGUAUUUAAUGUUGAGUCUAGAGGUUCAAGUACCAUCCCGAACUAGCUGUUCUGAUAAUUGCGGAUCACAAAAACUAUCAUUUUCCUGUAUGGAUGAUGUUAUCAGUGCUGGUAUACUUUCUUCUUUUCCAAAAUUUUGACAAACUAAAACUAUCAUUUCCCAUGUCAAUCUGAUUUCUGAUACUUUUUCUGAAGAAAGAGUAUCACAUUUUCCAAUGCAAACUUCAAGAUCACUAAAAAUUCCCCUUGAAUGACAAGGAAAAUCAUAGAUAGCAUCCCAAAUUCUUUCACAUAAGGCAUCCAACUCAAGGGACCUGACCUCAAUAGCUUUAACCUGAAUAUAUGAUAUAAAUUAUGAUUUCAUUUUUUCAUAUGAAAAUGAACAAAGAAGCAAUACACCUAUUUAGAGUAAAUCAUGUACUAUAUUAGAAAAUCAUGCAGACAGCAGACUUAUCUAAAAUCUUGAGAUAGCUAGAUAAAGAUGACUGAAAUGUAUGAGAACAUUGAGAAGCCCUCAUCAAAUAAGGUGUAUUUGCUGCGAAAACUUUUUAACUUCAUGAUGAGAGAAUUUAGCUCUGUUACUAAACAUAUUAAUGAAUUUAAUUCGCCACUAACAUAAUUAUUUUCAGUUAAUAUUAAUUUUUGAUGAUUAAAUUAAGGUACUAACCUUAUUAUCAUCUUCACCAGAAAGCUAGUCGGGUGUUGUAACUAAUGUGAGUAGCUCUACGUCUCAUAAAAUGAUAAAUCUAAAUGAUGUAGGGAAUCUAAUUUAGUGAUUUUAGUUGAAGAAAUCAGAAGAACAUCUCAGGUCUAUCUUCUAACCACAGCCUUCCCUACUUCCAGUUGAAGUUCUCUUUUCCUAGUUAAUUAUUUUAAGAUCGGAAAUAAGUUCUUUGAUUUCUUUCUAUUAUUUGAGAUAGAUUAGUGGUUCCUUAGGUUUCUAUUAUCAUUAUAUCAGAUAUAUCUCAUAAUGAUAAAAAAGUAAUAUGCUAAAAAAAAACUGCUUAUAGUUUUUGAAGUACUGGCUAACCCACUCACCCACCAUAGCAUGCUCAAGCGGCAACAAUCGUCUAAUAUCAGAUGUGGGAGCGGUUCGCAUGGAAAUCCUUGGACGAAAGGCAAUUCGAGUGUUCAAGACCAUACCUUAGGUGUUCCAACCCGAUUCGGGUUAAACAUCAAUAACAUCAUUAGAGGUGUUCCAGCUUCGAUGUCUUGGUAUAACAAUAACUUGAAACAAAAAUCUGGAGAAAUCUAUGAAGACGUUUGCUCCAGAAUAGGAAUUCUUUUCUAAUGGGAAGAUCACACAUCACUCUUGGUGUGGAUAGGAUCUGAAUGAGUUGAAGGGAGAGUGAAGGAACUCUGUUGAAGCAUACGAUCUAGUGGAUCCGCCCACAGUUUUUAAGCAUUAUGGAGAUCUUGUCAUUAAAUCCUUGGCAAGAUAGUUUGAGUUCUCUAUAGUAGUAGUUAGAAAAUUAGCCUACUUUUAUGCGUAUAUGUAAGAUCAUUAUUGCACAUUAGUAGGCCUCUUGAGGUAGUCCUUAAAGAGGUCAUUAAAGACAUCAGUCUCUCCUUUGAUUCAGUGUAUUACAAGAAGAACUGUUGUUACCCUUUGGAGACAUAGAUGAUGGAAGUAUAGGAGACCAACCUCCUGAGGCAGCGUAUCUAGUUACUAUAUAACUAGACUACAUAGCUAAUGGGAGAGAGUCAAUGAGCUUUUUGCUCAUUUCUUUUUACUUCUGUUUCUAUUUCUAUACUCUAUUUUUGUAAACCGGGCAUUAGCCUUAUUUUAAUGAAAUUUAAUUGCUUUAAAAAAAAAGAUCAUUAUUUAUUUUUGGAGUAGCUAGUCAGUUUAUCAUGUAUGUUGUAAUUAGAUUACUGUUUCUUAUUUUCAAUAAAUAAAAUCGAAUAGUUACCAUUUGCAAAAAAAAGAACAAAGAAACAAUCAAAUACCUCAAGCUCUAGGUGAUUUCCAAAACGUGUUUUUAAAUGCUGCGGACUCCCAAUACAUUUGAGAUUUCCGGAAACCUGAUUUUUUGAAAAAAAAUCAAUUAAAAGGAAGUCAACAUCAAUCAUGAUAAAUAAUUUCAAUUUAACUAUUUUGAAAACUUUUUUUUUGAUGAAGGAAGGUACAUUUCUACAAGUAAAAAUGUCUACUUCCGGAUGAUAUACUAGAGUUACAUAAUAUAUCACUGGUUACAUCAUAGUGGAAAUUUAAUAAAAAUUAUGUAUACAACAAGCCUCGAACCCUGGACUCUCAUAAACUUUAAUAGUUACCGUAAGUCGUGACCAGUUGAGCUAAUCUCCCUGUGUUAUUUAUUUUGAAAACUUAAAUCCUCUAAAAAUAAUUAUAUCCUAUAAUCACGUUCCCUAAUAAUAGUCUAAUUAAUAUCAAUUAAUUUAUAUUGAUAUUUAGUUAACAAUAUUUACUAUUUAAUAGAUACUCUAUCACCAUUAAUAACACAAUCGACAUAAAAUGUUAUAAUCUUACAAUUUUAUUUUUUGAUUGAAGCUCAAUCAAGUUUCAGAGUGUGCACACCUCGUGAAAGUUCUAAGCGAAUUUUGGUUUGAAUAUGCUUAACCUAGUUAUUUUAAAUUAGAAUAAAAACACAAAUUACGAUUCAGAACAGUGAACAAUCUAAAUCACAUUUUUCUCGCUGUUUAUGUAUGUCGAUUUGCAAUCCACGAAUAAAUCUGAUCUCUUCUGAUCAGAUUAUCUCUACCUCACACGAGAAUGGUGACUCUCUCUAUUCUCUCAAUUCUGACCUCACACAAAAGUACUGAUCUGAAACGUGUAAUCAGAUCAGAAAAAAUAAAAGUGGAGGAAGGAAAAAUAAGAACACAUAACAACAAAAGAGAAUGUUUUGUUAACGAGGUUCAGUUGUGCUUACUCUUCAGGGGUGAUUGGGUUCCUCCUACCCUUGGUGACAAAAAUUACAGACGGAAAAAAUUAUCCAGCACACAUACAAGAGAAAAAUCAGAUGUUAUUUAUAAUUAGUUAUCUAGGGAGGCAUGCCCUAGCCCUUGAUAAAUAAUUAAUCCAGCAGGCCCAAUAAGAAUUAUUAGCCCAUGAAGAAUAUUCUCCAUCUAAUUUAUGCCUCCCUUAUAAUUUAAUUAAUUGCAAAUAACUCCUUGCAAUUAAUUUCGAUACAAUUAACUCCAACAGUUUGCCUGUUUUCUAUCCACUGUUUUAAGCUUCACAUCACCUGAAUUCAUCCAUCCAGUAGAAAAUCAGGUGUAAGAUAUUGCCUGAAAGCAUCUUACAGCAUUAGGAUGGAGAUCAUCGAGAUUUGCUAUUCAAAAUCCCAAUGAAGAAACCCCCAAUCGUCGAUAUCGAUCUUUUACCAACAGAUCUCAUGAAAAGGAAGGUUGCAUUGAACGGUGGUAACUUAAUCAAUGACCAAAUGUAGGAAGAUUAUUAAUUGCUUUUAAAAAAAAUGCAGGAAGAUUAAAGUGGUGGGUUCUUUGGAUUUAGAAAGUAAUGAAAUUCUCCUUGAUGUGGUGAGAAAAAAGAAUACCGAGCCUAAACAACAAUUGUCAAUCAUACGAAGAAGCAAUAAAAACAAUUGCUCAAUCAAUAUGGGGGAAGGUUUUUCUUCAUUUGUGGUAUUCCAUGCAACGUUACUUCAAAUGCAGAAUUAUAGGAAAAAUCUGCCUUUUGUCAAUUCCUAAUGAAUAAUGAUAAAUUCUGAUUUACUAAUUCUGAAUUUAUAAUUUACUUUUAGACUUGGGUAGAAGUUAUUGUCCUCUACGGUCCAAGCUACAUUGUACCAACACCUUACUAACUUAGUUUCUUAACUGCAAGAAGUUAGUUAUGUAUAAACGAGAAGUUAUCGCCAGGUAGUUGUAAUUUUUAGCUACAGGUACUUCAAUUAUUGUUUAAGGACAAUAUAUUUCAAAUGUAUUUUAAUAUCUACUUGUUGUCCAUUCUGCCUACCAAAUCUCCCAUUCUCCAGCCAUCUAAUCCAGGUGAUCAAAUUCACCUUCUGUAAAUCAUAUAAACCUACUGGGUUGUCAACACUUACAUAUAGAAAUCGUAGGAUUUUUAUUUUAUUACCUUUCCUAGAAUUCUAUUCCGAUCAUGCUCUGAGCGUAUGAUAAUAACAUCAACUAUUUAUUAGUUAAAAAAACCCACUUCGAAACAUUACCAUUAUACCAAUCCGUGUGCACAAAGCUUGAGCUUCAUUCAUGCUAUGAGUUGUUAGAAUAACGGCUGUUUUCCCUUUUCUAGUAGACAAGUGUGCUAUCACAUCCCACAUAAACCGUUUAGCUAUUGGAUCCAUACCUAAACUCAGAACAAUGCAUAUUAGAAUGUGCAAGAACAAAAAAUAUAUAAAAAAAUCCCCAAAAUUUUUGCUAUGAGUAAAUCUAUAUCCUAAGAAAGGAUUUAUAUUAGUUUCCUAGCAUAAUAGGAGUGAAAAUAGUUAGUUUCACUAUACGAGAAUUAGUAAACCUAUAAUUAAUUUUGCACAUCGUUAAAUUCCUAAUUACAUAUAUUUGGCUUAGUAAAUUUUGUAUUUCUACAUAAAUGGAACACUAAAUAAUAAUUAUAAUAUAUAGACAUUACAGUGGUAAAAACACUAAAUGGAAUUGACAGAAAUAUGCAAAUAUGCAUUGCCUUAAUCGAAUGAGUAAAAUCAAUUAUCGUGCAUUGUCUUGAUAUUUAUUGGUCAGUCCACUCAAACUGAUAGGAUCGAUGCUUAAAUCGAACUGAGAAAACCGAGCAAAAAACAAGAACAAAACAGAUUUACGUGGUUUGGUAAUGUGCCUAUGUCCACGGGCUGUCUCCUCUUCUUCUUUUUCUUUCACAAAGAGUACAAGUAAUUACAAGAUAGUUAUAUGAGAGAUUAGGGUUGCCGUUUUGUGUUUGCAACCCUAAUACCCAUUACAAGGCUUAAAGCUCAUUUAACAGAAUUAAACCUAUUUAAUUUUAAUGGCUCAUAAAAGGCCUACAUUAAUUUUAAUUAUUUUAAUUAUAAUUAAUGCCUUUAAUGAAAAACGUCUCCACACUCUAACAAUCUCCCACUUGGAGACUGUUUAGGAGAACUGCCACCUCAUCAAGUAAGCUUGUACCGGAGACACUCAACACCAUCUCUCUAGGCGCGAAGACCAAUUAAGGCCAUGCAAAGCCUUAGUUUCUGUACGUUCACCACCUUUGUGAACAUGCCUGCUGCAUUCUCAGUACCGGCUAUUUUCUUCAAAUUCAAUUGUCCUUCUUCAAUCUGCUCUCGAAUGAAGUGAUACUUGAGUCUGAUAUGCUUUGACCUUGAGUGAAACACUGGAUUCUUGGCCAGAUAAAUUGCGCUCUGACUGUCACACCACAGCACACUGUCAGUUUGCUUGUAGCCCAAUUCUGUCAGCAUAUUUUCUAGCCACAUCUUCUCUUUCACUGCUUCUGCCACUGCCACAUACUCGGCUUCAGUAGUUGAGAGAGACACUAUACUUCCUAUGUUGAACACAUAACCUGAGGUACUCCUGCUACUGCCAAGGUCUCCUGCUAAAUCUGCAUCACAAAAUCCACAGAGCUCUACCCGCUCUUUCUUGAAACACAGACCAACAUCUGGAGUUUUCUUCAGAUACUUAAGUAUCCACUUCACAUCUUUCCAGUGCUCAACACCUGGAUUUGACAUGAAUUUAAUGACAACUCCCACUGCAUGGGCAAUAUCUGGUCUCGUGCAGAUCAUGACAUACAUUAAACUUCCAACUGCUGAGGAAUAUGGUAUACUCUCCAUCUGACUUCUUUCAGCUUCAGUCUUUGGUGAUUGUUCUUUUGUCAAUUUAAAAUUGGCUCCCAAUGGAAGAUCUGUCAAUCUGAAAUUUUCAAAACUGAAUUUCUCAAGAAUCUUUUCAAUUUAUCUCUGUUGACUCAGUUUCAAAAUUCCUGAGGACUCAUCCCGGAUGAUCCUCAUGCCCAAAUCUUUCAUCUCAGAUUCCUUUGAAAGUUGUUUCUUCAGAUGAUUUAUCUCCUUCAUGUUUGCACUAGUAAUGAACAUAUCAUCAACAUAAACAACAAGAAUGAUGUAGCAAUCAGUCAACUGUUUUCUGUAGCAACAGGAAUCUGUGUCACACCUCUUGAAAUCUAUGGCACUGAGAUAGCUAUCAAAUUUCUUGUACCACUGUCGAGGUGCUUGCUUCAGCCCAUACAAACUCUUCUGAAGUCUGCAAACCAGAUUUCUUUUGCUGUUUGAUACCUUGAACCCAUCUGGUUGUGCCAUGUAGAUCUCUUCAUCCAGGUCACCAUGAAGAAAGGCUGUUUUCACAUCCAUCUGUUCUAAGUAGAGAUUUUCUGCUGCAACUAUACUUAGAAUAAUUCUGAUAGUGGUCAUUUUGACUACAGGAGAGAACACCUCAGUGUAGUCUAAAUCUUGGAUCUGCUGAAAACCCUUGACUACAAGUCUUGCCUUAUACCUCUUUCUUCCAUCUGGUUCUUCCUUUAACCUGAAGAUCUAUUUAUUCUGUAAGGCACGUUUUCCUUGUGGUAAAGGAACAAACUACCAAAUCUUAUUCUUUUCAAGAGACUUGAACUCUUCUUUCAUGGCUAGCUCCCACUUCUCAGAGUCAUUUUGCACCUGAGCCUCUUCAAAUGAUUCUGGCUCUCCAUUAUCUGUCAGUAAGAGGUAGUUCACUGAAGGAUCCCAUCUGUUUGGUGGCUUAGUUUUCCUAAUAGAUCUCCUGACAAAAUGUUGAGGAAUUUCCUAUUCCUCAUCCUCAUCUUGAAGUUCAGGAUCUGCUAUCUCCUCUGUAAUGUCCAAAGGAUUCUCUGCUGGUAGGCUUUCAUCAACUUCAAACUCAACAAACUGAUCAUCUCCAUCUGUUUUAGCACUAUCCUUGUGCUUGUAGAGAUUUUGUUCUUGAAAGAUGGCGUCUUUUACACGAAUAACUUUCUUUGACUCGUCAUUCCAGAAUCUGUAGCCAAAGUGAUCCUUUCCAUAUCCAAUAAAGUAAUACUUCUGAAAUUUAGCAUCCAGCUUGUCUCUGUUUUCACUCCUGAUAUGAACAAAUGCCACACUUCCAAACACACGUAGAUGUGUAUAUCUUGCUUCUUUACCAGUCCAAAGCUCUUCUGGAAUCUUGAAAUCCAUAGGAACAGUGAACAGAAGGUCCUCGAUUGAUAAAAUAAGCAGAUGUGUUGACUGCCUCUGCCCAGAAGUACUUAGGUAAACCAGAGUGUAACCUCAUGCUUUUAGCACGCUCAUUCAGAGUCCUGUUCAUCCUUUCAGCAACUCCAUUCUGUUGUGGAUUGGCAGUCACUGUCCAUUCUCUGCGAAUUCCAUGAUCUUCACAGAACUUCUUGAACUCUGUGCUGCCAUACUCUCCACCAUUAUCUGACUUGAGACACUUCAACUUGCAACCUGUCUUAGUUUCUACCUCUGCCUUCCACUUCUAGAAAAUCGAGAACACUUCUGAUUUGUUCUUCAAGAAAUAGACCCAGACCUUCCUUGUGCUGUCAUCAAUAAAGGUGACAUAAUACUUGGAUCCUGAAAUGGAAUCCACCGGGGUUGGUCCCCACACAUCAGAAUGUACCAAUUCCAGCUUUGCUUGCUUAACUUGUGGGGAUGUUUUGGAAUUUGGAGAAACUAAGUAUUUUCUGCUUGCCGAGAAUGCAAUCUUCACAAGUCUCCAUAUCAUCCCAAGUCAUCUUUGGAAACUUGUCGUCCUUCACUAGUACCUUCAGACCCUUUUCAUUAAUGUGACCCAUUCGUUUACGCCACAAAGUUGAGUUCUCUGCAAUACUGAUUGAUGCAAACAGAUUGGACUCGUCUGUCAAGUACAAGGUGUCAUUCUUUUGUCCUCUUGCAACUAUUCUGACUCCUUUGGUAAUUUUCCAAGAUCCAUUUCCAAAACUAGCCUGUAUACCAUCAUCAUCUAGUUGACUCACUGAGAUUAGUUGCUUUGAUAACUUUGGCACAAAUCUGACAUUCUUCAGAAUCCACAAACCCUGCUUGGUCUGGAUAUGUGCUUCACCUCUUUCAUAGACUUCCAGUGCUUUGCCAUCAGCUAGAUAGACUUUGCUGAUUUUUGUAUCUCUGUAGUUCUUUAGAUUUUCCUUCUUGUAAGUCGAGUGAAACGAAGCACCUGAAUCUAACACCCAAGAGUCUACAGAACUCACUACACAACACACCAAUGCAUCAUCUGAACCUUCUGAAUAGUUAGCACUGUAUUCAGAUUUUUUUCCCUUAGAUUGUUUCUUUCAAGCCUUGCAGUCUGAUCUGAAGUGGCUAGGCUUGUCACAAUUCCAGCAAAUCACAUUUUUCUUCCCUUUGCUCUUGCCUUGGGACUUCGAAUUGCUUCUGAAUUUUCCUCUAUUCCGACUUCUGCCUCUACUCUCCAAAUUCAGUGCUGUAGAAGAUGACUGUGUCUUGCACUUUCUCCUGAUUUCUUCAGAAAUAAUCAGGUCCCUUAUAUCAUCCCACUUAUGCUUUCCGUGACCAAUAGAGCUGCUCACACUUGUAGCAACUUGUUCCCAACUUUCUGGUAGAGAUGAUAACAAAAUAAGUACUCUAAGUUCAUCUUCAAAGUUGAUAUCCACAGAAGACAACUGUGUCAACAACACAUUUACUUGAUUCACAUAAUCAACAUCAUUUGCUCCUUCACUCAUCUUGAUAUUGAACAAAUUACGCAUCAGAAAAACUUUGUUUGUUGCUGUAAACUUUUGAUACAUAUUCGUCAAGGUUUCUAACACCUCUAUUGUAGUGGUGCACUUGGAGAUGUUGAAGACAACAUUCUUAGCCAAGGUGGGUCUAAUAAGGCUGAUAGCUUUUCUGUCGAGAAGCUUCCAAUCUGCAUCACUCAUAUCUGCCGGUCUUGUGCCCAACAUCAGAGCAUGAAGAUUCUUUGCACAGAAGUAGUCCUCUAUUUGCAUUUUCCAAUAUGCAAAAUCAUUCCCUUUAAACCUAUCGACCCUAUGCUUUAUUUCAUCCGCCAUUUCAAGCACAACUACUGCUCUGGAAGGUUGAACACACCGACUGGACCAAGACAGAUCCGCCGAUUGGAAGAUCGCAGAAAAAAGAAACGCCGAUCUGGAUGAACGUAAGGAAAAAUAAAUCCGCCGAUCUGGAUGAACAAAAAAGAAGAAACCUGUCGAUCUGAAUGACCAGGACAGACUCGUCGACUGGAAGACAGAGGAACGCCGGUCCAAAAAACCCUCCCUCUGGAAAACCCUAGCCGAUCAGAAAAACGCCAACUUUUGCUCUUGUCUUUUUGAUUUUUAAUCCAACCUCGCUCUGAAAGAUCCUUUCCUUUUGCUGGAAACCUCAAAUUUUUUUCUUUUCUUUCGUGAACAGUAACUCCGUGACCUCCGUCGAUGAACAGUGUUCCGACGGAAUGAACAGUGUUCGUAUUUUAUUUCAGCACCUUCUUGGACCUCAAACAAGGCUCUGAUACCAAUUGAUAGGAUCGAUGUUUAAAUCGAACUGAGAAAACCGAGCAAAAAACAAGAACAAAACAGAUUUACGUGGUUCGGCAAUGUGCCUACGUCCACGGGGUGUCUCCUCUUCUUCUUUUUCUCUCACAAAGAGUACAAGUAAUUACAAGAUACUUAUAUGAGAGAUUAGGGUUUCCGUUUUGUGUUUGCAACCUUAAUACCCAUUACAAAGCUUAAAGCCCAUUUUACAGAAUUAAACCUAUUUAAUUCUAAUGGCUCAUAAAAGGCCUACAUUAAUUUUAAUUAUUCUAAUUAUAAUUAAUGCCUUUAAUGAAAAACAUCUACACACUCUAACACAAACACAUGGUCAGAUGAACGCUAUAUUGCCAAUAUUGCUGUCCAGUCUUCAGCAGCCUGUUGGGUUAUGUUGACGGUCUUGGGCUGCUCAUAUGGUCAGAUGAACGUUUAGCUGCUGGAAGACAUAAGGGACCACUAUGCAAUUAAGGUUUUGAACGUUACCUCUACUAUCAUGUGCUAACUUAAUGAAGGGUUAUAAUUUAUUUUUUGCCAAUAGUAAAUUUUCCAUUUUUCCAUUCAAUAGAGAGUUUGAUACAAGUGCUUUACCACUAUACAACUAUUCUUUUAUCAUAGCAUUAUAGUAUUAUACAUAGCAUACAUAUUACUAGUUACUACUAUAUUUUCCUAGGGGUAGCUAAGGUUGUCCUGCCAAGGAAUAAGUGACAAAACCUUUUUAUAACUUGGCUAAGUUUUAAAUUUACCAGGGUUGUAAAUCACUCUCGUAUCGCUUUGGAUCUUGUCCCUGAUAAUGGGCCAAUGAUUCUUCUUCUCCUCAUGUAUUAUGUUACAUCUUUCUCUCCAGAUAUGCCAUGCUACAGUCUGGUGCAUUAGCUAAUGCAUUGCCCAACAUGCAUUAUGUGUGGGAAACACAGAUUCAAUGAUUCGAAAUACUCUUAGGAAAUUGUAAAUAUUUGCUAGGAUCAUGUUUUCCAUUUUUUUCCAAAUAAUCACUCCAUGUGUUUAGAAUAUAAACACAGCAUGUCUCUGAACCAAGUCCCAACUAGUAGUUGUAUAUCUCUUCUUCAUCCAUUUUAACCAAAAGGAUUCAUCUUUUGUCAUUAUUAUCCAAAAUCUUCUAACUUUGGAUACUAAUGGCCAUGUAUCAUUCUGUUCUUAUGGAGUUAUUUUGAUAGCUGAGACAAACAAGGUAUAUAAUUGCUUGUAAAUCCUAUAUCAUUAUUUUCUACCACCAUCAAAAACUUCCACGGAGUAGGUUCAUCGUGUAGCCGAAUCUCAUAAAAAAUCUCUACUUUUAUUCUUUAUCAUUACAUCUAAUCUUUAGCUAGAAUGUGUGGUUGUUAUAUACUUGUGAUCAACAGAAAAUUAACAAAUGGCAUCAGAUUUAGGUUACUGUUUACCAUCGAAUAACGUUUGCAGCAAAACACUAGAACACACUUUUUUUUUGAAGCAAUUAAAUUUCAUUAAAAAAAUAUGGAAUUAUUGAUAUUUAAAAAAUGAGAAUGGAACCUGUAGAUGGUUCAUCAAGAAUAACUAUAGGGGGGUCAGAAAUCAUUGCAAUUGCAACCGAUAAUUUUCUCUUGUUCCCCCCACUUAGAGAAAAUGAAGUUUUAUUUGCAUGUUUCAAUAAAUCGAACUCCACCAACUUUUCUUUGACAAUCUGCAUAAUAAGUCAAGUAAAUGGAAAUAUUAUUUGUUAUUUGGCAAACUUUCACACAGAAUAAAAAAAAUUAACCUUACAUCUUUAAUAUCAUGGUCAGGGACAUUUUUUAUUCUUGCAUAGAGUUCCAAAUGCUCUUGGACAGUCAAAAAAUCUAAGAGUGCAUCAAAUUGUGGGCAGUAACCAACCUGAGUAUUGAAAAUAUAAUGAUUUCAAAAUUUUGCUUGAACAUUUGUAUAUAUGAAGGGUGGUGAUUGUGCAGAACCAUAAAAUAUAUCUUACAUGCCGACGAGAAACCUUAGGAUGCAAGCAAAUGUCAUUUCCAAAUAUAUAUGCAGUUCCACUAGUUGGAGAUUCUUCCCCUGAUAACAUUAGAAAGAAAUUAUCAUUUUCAUUACAAAAAUGAAUUAAUGAUCUUUUUAAUAUAUUGUAUAGAACUAUAACUCAUGAAACUAAUUAUGUUUUUAAUCAUAUCCAAUUAGAAUCAACGGGAGAGGUUCAAUAGAGGAUAAAACGAGGCGAUUGUGUUUGUUUUGGCAUGUCUCCUAGACAACGAAGUUUUUUUCCCAGACUAUUCCUAGAAAUAGUCAGGAUGUGUUGUGUGAAUGAGAAUGGUUUUGUAAGGGUGAAAGGGUCGUGAAAUAAUUCUUCCAUUGGUCAGCCCACUGUUUUUAGAGGAAGACAUGAGAAUUUACAGGUGGAGUUAAAAUCUGUUCUUCCGGAAUAAUAAAGAAUGCUUCAAGACACAUAGAAAUUUCGUUCCUCGUAGAGUCAUAAGGGAAGAUGGAAAGGGGAGGUGAGUACGCUUCAAGAUAUGUUUUUUUUGCAAAGGGUAGAUUUUUAUAUUAAUAGAAAAAUAAAGGACAGUAUUUAAACUUAAGAAAUUAAAGAAAAACACAGCUAUAAACGAAGCAUGCAUAAUACAAAUAUGUUAUAAAUAUUCAUUUUAUUAUCUAUUUACCAGUUAACAUUGCUAAUGUUGUAGUUUUUCCUGCUCCAUUUGUUCCCAGAAAACCAAAACAUUCUCCUUCUUGGACAGAGAAAGUUAAAGAAUUGACAGCAACCUUUGCAUUGCAAUUUUUACCAGGGUAAACCUGAUGUAGUAGAUUCCAAAAAAAUAUAUAAAGUAUUAAAAUUUAAAAAUACAAAUACAAAUUUCUUUAAUAAAAUAAAAAGUGGGCUGUUACAAAUACCUUGUGCAGAUUACGCAAGUGGAUUAUGGCAUUGUCAGUACCACCAGAUAGAACCUUGUCUCUCUCAGCUACCACAUCCACGUCUUCAUUAGUAAUAGACACUGACGAGUCAUUAUACGAACCCAAAAGAGGCUCCAAAGUACCCUGAGAAGUGUCAUUACAGUAUAUUUUGGUACGACUCCACCACUCUUUCAUUGUGUAUAUGUUCCACUUGUGUGAAGGAAAAUUCUCAAUUCCAAUUGUCAUAAGGAAAAAUGCAAUACUCUGCACAAUUCAAUUUGAGAUGGGUUAAUAAUUAAAAUAAUUCGAAGACAUUUUGAUGUAAUUGGUAAAAAAUAUAUGGAUUUUUAUAUGAAUUAUGAACUAUUUCCAAGUAUUUUCCAAUAGUUUCCAUUACAUCACCAAUUCUGAUGUCAUCAUUACUGGGGGUGAGUAUAAAAUGUUUUCAGAUUUCCCAGAUGGCUGAGUUUAGCUCUAUGGUGACAUUUAGGAGUUGGUCUCUGGUGUAGGUAUAAUUUAAAAAUAGGUAAUGGAUGGGCUCAUCAUCUGUUCCACAGAGGAGGAAGGUGAUUUGUAGGCUUAUUAUCAAUAAUUGGAGUCUGGUGAAGGUAUUUAAGAACUUCAACCUGGUUCUCCAUAGGAGGACAGAAAACUUAGGGCGUAUUUUGAACCAGAUACCUUUAAAGUCAUAGUUUAUAACGCUUUUAGUUCUAACUACUUCGUAUAUAACUAUUGUAUCAAGAUAAGUAGAUAACAAUCAUAAAAUUGUAUCAUUUACCACCAUAGUAUACUCUGCAGAUGCAAAUCUGUUUUAGGAUUUCCCCUUGGGGGCUACUAUGGAAUGCUAUUGGGUGCUUGUCGUGGCAUAUAUGGACAGAAAGAAAUAAAAGAUAUAGACAACACGUUAGUAGGCCUCCUGAGGUAGUCCUUAAAGAGGUCAUUAAAUACAUCAGUCUCUCUUUUGAUUCAGAUUAUUACAAGAAGAGCUGUUGUCACCCUUUGGAGAUAUUUAUGAUGGAAGUAUGAGAGACCAACCUCUUGAGGCAGCGUAUCUAGUUACUGUAUAACUAGACUACAUAGUUAAUGAGAGAGAGUCAAUGAGCUUUUGUUCAUUUCUUUUUACUUUUGUUUUUAUUUCUAUACUCUUUGUAAAUUGGACAUUGCCCUUAUUUUUUAAUGAAAUUUUAAUUGCUUUAAAAAAAAAAAAUCUGUUUUAGGAGUGAAAGUGUGGUGCUCAAGGUUCCGGGUGCGCUCGCAUAUGCGCAGGUGCGACUCUACUGGGAGAUGAAAUUUAAAAAAAAGGGCAAAAAAAAAAAAAAAUUUUAAGACCUUAUAAAUUUUUAUGUCAAAAAUCUAUACAUUGGUCAAUGAAAAGA
rnacentral:lncRNA from 1 species